rnacentral:lncRNA from 12 species
CAAAAAUGCUACUCACUUUUUAAAGCAAGCCUGCUUCAAAAGGACAGGAACCUUCUUUUGGAUAGAGACAUCAAAUUGGAACUGAACUUGGGCUAAGGGACUGCUCAGAAGAACCCCUGAAGGAAAGCAAAACUAUGUGUUCACACUGUAAU